rnacentral:rRNA from 1 species
GAUGAACGCUGGCGGCGUGCCUAAUACAUGCAAGUCGAGCGAACAGAUGAGGAGCUUGCUCCUCUGACGUUAGCGGCGGACGUGUGAGUAACACGUGGAUAACCUACCUAUAAGACUGGGAUAACUUCGGGAAACCGGAGCUAAUACCGGAUAAUAUAUUGAACCGCAUGGUUCAAUAGUGAAAGACGGUUUUGCUGUCACUUAUAGACGGAUCCGCGCCGCAUUAGCUAGUUGGUAAGGUAACGGCUUACCACGGCGGCGAUGCGUAGCCGACCUGAGAGGGUGGUCGGCCACGCUGGAACUGAGACACGGUCCAGACUCCGACGGGAGGCAGCAGUAGGGAAUCUUCCGCAAUGGGGGAAAGCCUGACGGAGCAACGCCGCGUGAGUGAUGAAGGUCUUCGGAUCGUAAAACUCUGUUAUUAGGGAAGAACAAAUGUGUAAGUAACUAUGCACGUCUUGACGGUACCUAAUCAGAAAGCCACGGCUAACUACGUG